GAUGAACGCUGGCGGCGUGCCUAAUACAUGCAAGUCGAGCGAACGGACGAGAAGCUUGCUUCUCUGAUGUUAGCGGCGGACGGGUGAGUAACACGUGGAUAACCUACCUAUAAGACUGGGAUAACUUCGGGAAACCGGAGCUAAUACCGGAUAAUAUUUUGAACCGCAUGGUUCAAAAGUGAAAGACGGUCUUGCUGUCACUUAUAGAUGGAUCCGCGCUGCAUUAGCUAGUUGGUAAGGUAACGGCUUACCAAGGCAACGAUGCAUAGCCGACCUGAGAGGGUGAUCGGCCACACUGGAACUGAGACACGGUCCAGACUCCUACGGGAGGCAGCAGUAGGGAAUCUUCCGCAAUGGGCGAAAGCCUGACGGAGCAACGCCGCGUGAGUGAUGAAGGUCUUCGGAUCGUAAAACUCUGUUAUUAGGGAAGAACAUAUGUGUAAGUAACUGUGCACAUCUUGACGGUACCUAAUCAGAAAGCCACGGCUAACUACGUGCCAGCAGCCGCGGUAAUACGUAGGUGGCAAGCGUUAUCCGGAAUUAUUGGGCGUAAAGCGCGCGUAGCGGUUUUUUAGUCUGAUGUGAAAGCCCACGGCUCAACCGUGGAGGGUCAUUGGAAACUGGAAAACUUGAGUGCAGAAGAGGAAAGUGGAAUUCCAUGUGUAGCGGUGAAAUGCGCAGAGAUAUGGAGGAACACCAGUGGCGAAGGCGACUUUCUGGUCUGUAACUGACGCUGAUGUGCGAAAGCGUGGGGAUCAAACAGGAUUAGAUACCCUGGUAGUCCACGCCGUAAACGAUGAGUGCUAAGUGUUAGGGGGUUUCCGCCCCUUAGUGCUGCAGCUAACGCAUUAAGCACUCCGCCUGGGGAGUACGACCGCAAGGUUGAAACUCAAAGGAAUUGACGGGGACCCGCACAAGCGGUGGAGCAUGUGGUUUAAUUCGAAGCAACGCGAAGAACCUUACCAAAUCUUGACAUCCUUUGACAACUCUAGAGAUAGAGCCUUCCCCUUCGGGGGACAAAGUGACAGGUGGUGCAUGGUUGUCGUCAGCUCGUGUCGUGAGAUGUUGGGUUAAGUCCCGCAACGAGCGCAACCCUUAAGCUUAGUUGCCAUCAUUAAGUUGGGCACUCUAAGUUGACUGCCGGUGACAAACCGGAGGAAGGUGGGGAUGACGUCAAAUCAUCAUGCCCCUUAUGAUUUGGGCUACACACGUGCUACAAUGGACAAUACAAAGGGCAGCGAAACCGCGAGGUCAAGCAAAUCCCAUAAAGUUGUUCUCAGUUCGGAUUGUAGUCCUGCACUCGACUACAUGAAGCUGGAAUCGCUAGUAAUCGUAGAUCAGCAUGCUACCGUGAAUACGUUCCCGGGUCU
rnacentral:rRNA from 1 species